GCCAUUUCGUGCUCCGGCGCGCGGGGCCUCCGCAUGAUGGACGCCCGGAAGCCGAGACAACAAAGGCCGGCGCGCUAGGGCCGCGCGGCCUGCGGAUCUUUACGGUGCUCGCAGGGCGAAGAUGGCGCCCAGGCGCGGAAGCUGUGCCCGAGUGUGGGGAGACGUGGGCGCGUCUACCUGCGAGCGGGCCCGGCCGCCGUCCCGGGGCGGGGAGGGGCACGCACGGCCUCGUGUGCGCACAGCGCUGGGGUGUUCACCUCCCCGUGUGUGCACAGCCUCGGUAUCCCCAGACUUGCGUGUGCACCAUCCAGUCGCACGAACCGCUCAUUGGACUCCUGCUGAGGCCCCCACUUUGCAAUGGGGUCACGCAAUGACAGUGAGGGGCAGGCGAUGAGAGAAACAAAGAAAAGAGCAGUAAAGGGCAACACGAGGAAGCUGGGAAGGAGGCCCCUGGCCCGCUACAGUAAGAAAAGCCUCCUGGAGGAAGCCAAGCGCCAUGGCCAGGGCCUGGCUACAGAUGGAAUCGGGGGGUCAAGCCCCAGUUUCUGCUCAGGCCUGAGAACUUUGUUCGACGGGACAUUCAAACAGGAGAUGACACCAAAUUCGUGUCUGAGAGGAUGGGGUUGAAGCACAAGAGGCCUAGGGGGUAAUAGAGCGGGGACAGGCUCAGCAGAGAAGUGGCCUCCCCAGGGAGGGAAUGGGGUAGAAAAGCAGGAUGGGGGACUAUGGUCUCCCCUCCUAUGUACACGUCCUGCUGUUUCCAGUUCUUCUGUGUUGAGCACACUCCUCGGAGAGACAAACACUCAGGCCUCAGCACUGACCUUUACUGGCUGGGUGCCUGGCAGGCACCUAAGUCAGCAGAGAUGGAGGGAGAUACUGCCUGCAGAAUACUGCAGGCACAGGGGAAGUAGUCCUUAAACAUGGAUGUGAGCAUUUAUGCUGGAGUGACUUUUAAAGUUCCCUAGUCUGCCGUCCUUGUCCAGAUAAAGUACCAUCUCUUGGUGGACCUCUCA